CACAAGCGGUGGAUCAUGUUGUUAAUUCGACGAUACGCGAAGAACCUUACCAGGUCUUGACAUCCCCUGCAAAGCUAUGGAGACAUAGUGAGGUUAUCAGGGAGACAGGUGGUGCAUGGUUGUCGUCAGCUCGUGUCGUGAGAUGUUGGGUUAAGUCCCGCAACGAGCGCAACCCUUAUUGCUAGUUACCAUCAUUAAGUUGGGGACUCUAGCGAGACUGCCAGUGAUAAACUGGAGGAAGGUGGGGAUGACGUCAAAUCAUCAUGCCCCUUAUGACCUGGGCUACAAACGUGAUACAAUGGCUGAAACAAAGGGCAGCGAAGGAGCGAUCUGGAGCGAAACCCAAAAAAGCAGUCUCAGUUCGGAUUGAAGUCUGCAACUCGACUUCAUGAAGUCGGAAUCGCUAGUAAUCGCGGAUCAGAACGCCGCGGUGAAUACGUUCUCGGGGUUU
rnacentral:rRNA from 1 species